rnacentral:rRNA from 1 species
GGACUACUGGGGUAUCUAAUCCUUUUUGCUCCCCACGCUUUCGUGCCUCAAUGUCAGUAGCAGAAUAGUUAACUGCCUUCGCCGUUAUUGAUGUUCAUCCAUAUAUCUACGCAUUUUACCGCUCCACAUGGAGUUCCGUUAACCUCUCCUGCACUCAAGUAUGACAGUAUUACCAACUUCCACGAGGUUGAGCCCCGAUUUACCACCGAUAACUUAUCAUACCAUCUACGCACCCUUUACGCCCAAUAAUUCCGGAUAACGUUCGCCACCUAUGUCUUACCGCGGCUGCUGGCAC